UGCAUUCCCGUUAGAUCAUAAUUAUACAAUUAAAACUGUGGGCUAGUGAAAAGAUGCCAAAAUUGAUCCAAGUAUGUUACAUACGCACGUGUGUAAAUGUAUGACUAGAUAGGCAGCCAUAAACUAUAUCUUUACAGAUAAUUUAAGUUUAUUCCACAGGUCAACAUACCAGCACUACAAGAAUUCUGCUGCAAUCUCUGAGCUGAGCAACAGUCAGAGGAUUCCACUGGUACUUUUUAUAGGUAAAGCCUAUGCAUAUCUCUGGGGAUAAUCAGCAACAAGAAAUACCCACACUUGGGACAGUCAUAGCGGUUUAAUUUCCCCUAUACCACUUAGUAAAUUUCAAUGUUUCCCCGGGGAACACUACAAUCUCUGGGACUAUAGUUACAGCUGAUUUCCUAGAGAACACACAAAUGCUUUGGAGCUAAUUCUUUCUAUCCCUGGUAUGAAAGGGAGCCACAGGCCAACCUUUCCUAACUGCCCUUAGAUGUUAUACUCUGAGGUCCCAUAUGGUGAUGACUUCUGUUACCUAGGCAGAGGAAAUUGAGGUCACUGAGUGCUAACUUGGCAUUAGCUAGCAGAUGCCUGGCCUGGGCCUUAGCAUUCCAGUCUCUAGAACAUCUGGGUACCAGGCUUCCAAUAUACACUAAGCUCUCCAGCUGACUGUGCAUCUUGUCCCUCUUAAGUCAGGAAAUCAUUUGGACAUUAGAUACAGUAUACUGUUGUCUUGCGUGCUCUUCUCUCUCUAUCAUAGUGAGAAUAUUAACAAUAACCCAAGGGAACCUUUUUAAACAAUGCGUCUAUUUUCUAUCAAGAGAAGCCAAGACACUCUCCCGGGAAAAGAAUCUGAAAUGCUCCCUGGUAACUCUAGAAGAGACAUAAAAUUCAUCUCAGAUAUCUUGUGAGCAAAAGCGCAAGCUUUAGUAAGUACAUACUGCUCUUCACUGGUACUUUAAGCAAAAGCAACAACACUUAAUCACAUGCUGAUAUAAAUUUAUAUAACGCCUAUCCAACAACAACCAAGAAAACCAAAACACAAUUGACAGAAAUCUUUAUGGAUCACAUUGAGCACUGUGCUGUGCUGUGCUGAUACACAUUGUCUUAAUCUAUUCAACACCUUAUAGAAAAGACCUCUCAUAUGAAACGCUAGGCUUUGAAAUGGUUAAGCAACUCCAGUCCUUAAUUUUCUGAUUAUCAGCAAGUAUUUAUCAAUUGAGUAUCUACUGCGUUAACCACCUUUCUAGGCAUUGGGAACCUAAUAAAAAGAGAGGAGGUGAAAAUUCUGGCCUCAGAGAGUAGUAGUCUAUGGCAGUGGUUCUCAACCUUCCUAAUGUCGUGACCCUUUAAUACAAUUCAUGCUAUGGUAACCCCCAUAUCAUAAAAUUAUUUUCGCUGCUACUUCAUAACUGUAACUUUGGUACUGUCAUGAACCAGAAUGUAAAUAUCUCUGUUCCAAUGGUCUUAGGCAACCCCUGCGAAAGGGUCAUUUGACUCCCUUACAGAGCUGUGGUCCACAGGUUGAGAACUGCUGAUCUAGGGCAAGAUGGGCAAUGCCUAAUCACACAAAGAAAUUCUGUAACUUUACAUGGGAAUGGCUUCUAUAAAGAAAGCGAAAGAGGACAGCAUUAGUGAGGACCUGAGGAUGCUCUGAUGGGCAGUGAGGAAGGGCUUCUCUAGAGAACAAAUUCCUAAAGGUCAGGACAGAAUUGCUCAUGUCUGCUUUCCACACUCCGAAGAAGGAAAUGCAACACAUGGGAGGGAGAGAAGUCGAGAUGACAGAAAGCAGGAGAUGCAGGGAGAGGUAGCGUCAGGCAUGGCUCACUAGACCAUAGUCAGGAGAUGCAGGGAGAGGUAGUGUCAGGCACGGCUCACUAGACCAUAGUCAGAUGCAGGGAGAGGUAGUGUCAGGCACAGCUCACUAGACCGUAGUCAGGAGAUGCAGGGAGAGGUAGCGUCAGGCACAGCUCACUAGUCCGUAGUCAGGAGAUGCAGGGAGAGGUAGUGUCAGGCACAGCUCACUAUAGACCAUAGUCAGGAGAUGCAGAGAGCGAUAAUAUCAUGGAGGUCUCACUAGACCAUAGUCAGCAGGUUCAAGUUUAAUUUUGGGUUCAAAAUUGAAGGCCCCAGGAAAUCUCAAAACACAGGAAGUGAUAGGGAUCACCUUGGGUGUGUGGGAUGGAAAUGCAAGGAAGGUUAGAGGACUGUAGACCUCUCCUGCCAUCCCAUGAUGCCCUGCAGACCGAGAGACAGCCUGUGAUCUGCAGGGAUCCAGAAUGGAUUGCUGGUUUGUGCUUUGAAGAACUUGAGGCAAAAGAGACACAAUGUUUUUCUUUAUUUCUCUCUGGGAUAAGAAUGACUAGUGGGAAGUAAAUGUGGAGCAAACCAAUAAUUAUGGAAAGUUUAUUAUUAGACAUUUAAAUAAAAAUGCUGAUUGCCGGAGGUCACACAGCAAUAAAAUAGCUCAGCAAGAUGAGUCUACUCAUUUAAUAACUGGCAUACUACUUCAGUCAGUCACACUAUCAAGGAAAAUCUAACUGCAUCAGCCAUUCAGACACUACAUAGGAUCCUGUUUGGAAUGCCCAAACUCAUCAAGAGUUCACAGGCACAAAUUACUAAACUAGUUCUGCCUAACAUGAACAGAGACCUUGUAGCUUAAUUGGAAGGCAGACAACCAGUGUAGGCAGCAUGCAGGACCCAGAACAACAAUAUUGCCAUAGAGAAUCUCUGCAUGGGAUGGGGUUGCUGGGGCAGCAUAUGCAGGCCACUACAAGCACAAAGCCUGGCAAGCCUGCGCUCUGGAGGAGGAUCCUCAAGACAGAAAGCCCAGAGCGCAGCACGGUAUGUUUGGGUCAGCUGCUCUGUAACUAAGAAAACAAUCCGGCUGUGCUGCCAUGUGGCCCCCUUAAGGCACAACACUUAAUGCUGAGCUUUAUCUCGGGCAGGGUCCAAGUGUCUACUGAAGUCCUCCUCAGAUGUCUGAGGGUUUCCUCCCAUCGUACCAUCUUCAAUGAACCUUCUUAAAACCACCCAAAGUUACAUAUAAUCAGCUCCUCCCAAGCGCUUGAGUCUCUGCUCUGACAAAGGAGUUAAGUUAAGUUGGUCCGGCUUCAGUCAUCUCGGAUGCCAAUGUACACCAUUCUCUCCAGUGCAUGUUUUAUUGAGUUUAUGUAUUUCAAUAUUGAGGCAAUAAAAGAAAAACCCAAACGUGGUGUUUUGUCUUCUUUUGACAGACAGUAUAGUGCUAACCCAGCAGCAGCGUACAUGUACAGUUAGACCUCACUCAUCCUUAAGCUCCGGGCUCAACAAGCAGUGAACGACGGUGUGUGUAUUUACUUUGGAUGGCAUCAGGGUGGAAGAGCACACACCACCAGCUUCAAACAAUGGGAAGUCAGGCAGGAAUUUUAGAUGGCCUAGGUCCCCAGCGAAACACCAGUUACAGAGUAGACAACUGGGUUCAAACUUUAUGAAAACAGCCCUUUGCUUUUGUUGUUGACUAAAAGAAGAACUUGGGGAUUAGUUCAGAGACAGGUAAGAUGCUGCUUCGGAGCCUUGCUGUCUAAAUGCCUGUUUUACUUUUCGUUUUUUCUUUUGAAAACAGAUUGUCCUAGCUCUUUCGACCUUGCAAUCGAAAGAGAAACAAGCCUGCCUUCUGAAGAAUUGCCCUAAUGAGCUAGAUCUGCCCUACCAAGGGAGCCAUGAGACGGCCAGCCACAGAUGUACACUAAGCCUCUCCCUUCCUUCAAGUCCUGAGGAACACCCGUUCUUACACCUGCACAGGGUGGAAAGGAAUGCCAGCUGGAGAUGACUGAGGGGAAUGCGACAAGACACAGCAAAGUGCCACAGCCACGGCAGAAUGAGAAAUGCUUCCGGCAGAACCCGGGUGCCUGGCAGAGGGCUCUGUGGCCUCACCCGAGCACGGUGAAGAGCCAGCACAGUGCCUGAGGCUGAGUUUUCAUUUCAAAAUCAUGAUGCCACCAAAAGUGGGCAGGCCUGACCCAGGCGAACAAACUCCUCACCUGACAUUUAUCCUCACCACCAUGGAAGCAGCUCCAAGAGGGAGCUCAUGUGACAGAUACAAAAAAAAAAAAAAAAAAAAAAAAGAGGCUUCAAAGGGGACCUGUAGAGUGUCACAUGGUUCUUGGUGGAGUCUGACUAGCUCUUGUUUAGUUGCUACACGAUAUGAGUAACUAUUAGCCUGUAUUAUGGAAGGACUUCUUUAUUUCUAGUCUGAGACGAUGACAUUGAUCUGAAAGAUUCACCAAAGAGCUGCGUCUGCCCACCUCUUAUGCUGUGCACAGUUCUAUGUGUUGCAACUUUCUCUGUGCUAGGCAGGGCUCCAGGUCCUUCACAUGAAUUAAUUCUUUCAUCACACCACUCCUAGGAAGGCCAUCAUCACCCGUGUCACAAAUGAAGACAUUGGUGGAGAAAAGGGCAAUACUGUUUCAAGAUCCCAGCGCUUGCCGACUGCCUUUCAAGGAGGCAAGCCAAGCUACAGACAGGCGUUUUCCCCUAUCUUGUCUCCCAUUAUCUACCCCUUGGGGUAUGAAUUACAGUAAAACUCAUAAUUAACUAUGCUUUCAAGGACUUAAGAUCACUACUAGGCCUGUUGUUUGAAGGAACGAAAGAGAUGCAAGAAUUGCCUCACUGUCCUUAUCAUACAUCAAAAGUAUAUGCUCUACUAUGUUCAUAGCAGCAUUGUUUGUAAUAGCCAGAACCUGGAAACAACCUAGAUGCCCUUCAAAUGAAGAAUGGAUGAAGAAAGUAUGGAAUAUAUACAUAUUAGAGUACUACUCAGCAGU